rnacentral:misc_RNA from 1 species
AACAAUCAAUACCUUCAUACUCUUGAGCCUUUUGCAAACAUGAUCAUUCAAAUCAUCUAUAUGUUUGUCCCUUAAUAAUUCACAAAUUAUUUUUUUUCGUGCUGAUUUUGAUGAUUUCUUUAUCAUUGUUUCCCUGACAUUUUCAACAAAGUAAUGACCAUUAAAUUGAUUUUUGUUUCGACGAAAUACUUCUAGUGCAAUAGUUGUUUUACCAACGCCUCCCAUCCCCAAAAUUCCUACAACUUGCUUAUCUUUUAACAAGCAUUCCACUUUUUCCACACGCGAUUUAAUUCCAAUCAAUUUGGGAUCAUAAGAAUCAUCACUUUUAG